ensembl:lncRNA
GACAUGUGUAGAGAUGCUGAGGCAUGUUGGUGACAUUUUAAAUCACUAUGGCUAUAGAACAGUAAUCUCUCUAGUGCGGUAAUGACUCAGUGUCAAUACAUAGAUAUAUGUUACUGGAGACGAUGUAUAAAGGUGAAUAUAUUUCCAUAUUUGACAUUGAUAUUUAUAUUUACAGUAUAAUUAAGUUAUUAUACCACAGAUGCUGUGGGAUGAGGUUGUGUGUGUUUUGUGUAGAAAAUAUGAGAUGAGGUUGUGUGUGUGUUGUGUAGAUGAUACGGAAUCAGGUUGUGUGAGUGUUGUGUAGAUGAUAUGGGAUCAGGUUGUGUGAGUGUUGUGUAGAUGAUACGGGAUGAGGUUGUGUGAGUGUUGUGUAGAUGAUACAGGAUGAGGUUGUGUAGAUGAUACGGGAUGAGGUCGUGUAGAUGAUACGGUAUCAGGUUGUGUAUGUGUUGUGUAGAUGAUAAGGUAUGAGGUUGUGUGAGCGUUGUGUAGAUGAUACGGGAUGAGAUUGUGUAGAUUAUAUGGGAUCAAGUUGUGUGAGUGUUGUGUAGAUGAUAAGGUAUGAGGCUGUGUAGAUGAUACGGGAUGAGAUUGUGUAGAUGAUACGGGAUGAGGUUGUGUGAGCGUUGUGUAGAUGAUACGGGAUGAGAUUGUGUGAGUGUUGUGUAGAUGAUACGGGAUGAGAUUGUGUAGAUGAUACGGGAUGAGGUUGUGUGAGUGUUGUGUAGAUGAUACGGGAUGAGGUUGUGUAGAUGAUACGGGAUGAGGUUGUGUGAGCGUUGUGUAGAUGAUACGGGAUGAGGUUGUGUAGAUGAUACGGGAUGAGGUUGUGUAGAUGAUACGGGAUGAGGUUGUGUAGAUGAUACGGGAUGAGGUUGUGUAGAUGAUACGGGAUGAGGUUGUGUAGAUGAUACGGGAUGAGCGUUGUGUAGAUGAUAUGGGAUGAGGUUGUGUGAGCGUUGUGUAGAUGAUACGGGAUGAGGUUUGUGAGCGUUGUGUAGAUGAUACGGGAUGAGGUUGUGUGAGUGUUGUGUAGAUGAUACGGGAUGAGAUUGUGUAGAUGAUACGGGAUGAGGUGGUGUAGAUGAUACGGGAUGAGGUUGUGUAGAUGAUACGGGAUGAGGUUGUGUAGAUGAUACGGGAUGAGGUUGUGUGAGCGUUGUGUAGAUGAUACGGGAUGAGAUUGUGUAGAUGAUACGGGAUGAGGUUGUGUGAGCGUUGUGUAGAUGAUACGGGAUGAGGUUGUGUGUGAGCGUUGUGUAGAUGAUACGGGAUGAGGUUGUGUAGAUGAUACGGGAUGAGGUUGUGUGAGCGUUGUGUAGAUGAUACGGGAUGAGGUUGUGUAGAUGAUACGGGAUGAGGUUGUGUAGAUGAUACGGGAUGAGGUUGUGUGAGUGUUGUGUAGAUGAUACGGGAUGAGGUUGUGUGAGUGUUGUGUAGAUGAUACGGGAUGAGGCUGUGUGAGCGUUGUGUAGAUGAUACGGGAUGAGGUUGUGUGAGUGUUGUGUAGAUGAUACGGGAUGAGAUUGUGUAGAUGAUACGGGAUGAGGUGGUGUGAGCGUUGUGUAGAUGAUACGGGAUGAGUUUGUGUAGAUGAUACGGGAUGAGGUUGUGUGAGUGUUGUGUAGAUGAUACGGGAUGAGAUUGUGUAGAUGAUACGGAUGAGGUGGUGUAGAUGAUACGGGAUGAGUUGUGUGAGCGUUGUGUAGAUGAUACGGGAUGAGGUUGUGUAGAUGAUACGGGAUGAGGUUGUGUGAGCGUUGUGUAGAUGAUACGGGAUGAGGUUGUGUGAGCGUUGUGUAGAUGAUACGGGAUGAGGUUGUGUGAGCGUUGUGUAGAUGAUACGGGAUGAGGUUGUGUGAGCGUUGUGUAGAUGAUACGGGAUGAGGUUGCGUAGAUGAUACCGGAUGAGGUUACGUGAGCGUUGUGUAGAUGAUAUGGGAUGAGGUUGUGUGAGUAUUGUGUAGAUGAUACGGGAUGGGGUUGUGUGAGUGUUGUGUAGAUGAUACGGGAUGAGGUUGUGUAGAUGAUACGGGAUGAGGUUGCGUGAGCGUUGUGUAGAUGAUACGGGAUGAGGUUGUGUAGAUGAUACGGGAUGAGGUUGUGUGAGCGUUGUGUAGAUGAUACGGGAUGAGGUUGUGUGAGCGUUGUGUAGAUGAUACGGGAUGAGGUUGUGUAGAUGAUACGGGAUGAGGUUGUGUGAGCGUUGUGUAGAUGAUACGGGAUCAUAUUUGGAUAAGCCAUCAUUUGAUUCUUUGAAGCAGUGUCUAUUAAUGAAGUUGAUAUCCUUGAAUAAAACCACAAGGAAAAAAUAGCUUUUUCAAUCAUUUAUUAUCAAUAGAUGUGAUUUUCUUGUGUGGAAAAAGUAAGUACACUUGCCUCAGAAGCUAGUAUUGCCCCCUUUAGCAGAAAAAAUUUCUUGUAGGCGCUUCGCAUAAUUGUCCACUAGUCCCUGACAUCAGCUUGCUGGAACUUUUGACCACUUGUCCAUGCAAUAUUCUUUCAGUUGCAAGAUGUUUGAGGGUUUUCUGCAUGUACUGCCUGUUUCAAAUCCCCAACAUUAUUUCAAUAGGAUUCAAAUCCUGGCUUUGACUAGGACCUUCCAUAAACCUCUAUUUCUUCUUUCUGAGCCAUUUCUUGGUGGAUUUGUUAGUGUGUUUAGGAUCAUUAUCCUGUUGAAAGGUCCACUUUCAGUUCAACUUCAACUUUUGGAUAGAUGGCCCUACAUUAUCUUCAAGCACUCUUUGAUAUGAUGCAGAAUUCAUAGAUGAAUCAAUGAAUGCAAGCUGUACAGUACCUGAGGCAGAGAAACAACCCUAAACCAUAACAUUUCCACCACUGUGCUUCACAGUUGGUAUGAGGUGCUUCUCCUGAAAAGCUGUCUUUGGUCUGCGCCAAACAUGUCUGCUGUUACUGUUGUUAUCUUUGAUUUGUCUGUCCAGAACACAUUAUUUCAAAAGGCCUGGUCUUUGCCUAUAUGCUCAUUGGCAAACUGUGGUCUUUCUUUAAUCUUCUUUUUAGACAGCAAAGGCUUUUUCUUGGCACAUCUCCCAUGCC